UGUCAAAAGUUUCUUCUGUCGACUAAAAAAUAAUUUAAAUCGAUUUUUAUCGGUUAAAAUUUAAGUAAAAAGGUAAGUUUUCCAAUGAGACUGAGGAGUGACGUUAGUUGUUCUAGGGGGGAGAGACGGGAAAAACCCGUCGCUUUCAUCGGGAGCUGCCUUCUCUCUCUCUCUAUUCCAAGAACUAGAGCUAAACUUAGACGCGAAUCCGGGAAUAUGUAUUUAUGGAGCAGUCUGGCCCGUUUGACUCGAAGCGUCGGCGGACCUCAAGCCUGCAUAAGACGUCCACAGCCAAUACUGGACCGUGAUCGGUCAAAAUCGGACAACUGAAGGAAUAUACGCAGCAGAUAUAGAGUCGAGUGCCGACUUCCAACCGAAAUAUGAGGCACCCGUCCGAAGAAGAGCGUCGGCGGAGAAAGAAUUAUUUGUAUAGUUAUAAAUAGCGGAUGGGAGGGCUCAUUCGCCCAGUGGUGGGUUGCGGCGGGGUUCCUUUCGGAACCUACACGCGUCGGACACUACUACAGAAUACAGCCGCCCUCCUCCACUUAUAGCACAGACGCGCCAUGUCUCUCCCAGUGGAAAGUAGAGGCUGAGAUUCAGACAGCAUGUCCUACAAUCCUUACUCCAACCGAUACUCCUACAGCUCGGCCGGAAAGCCGUACGGAUCUUAUGGUUCGACCUCCGGCCUUACUUCGGGAUACCAUUCUUCUUACGCUUCAGGGAGUACUUAUCAUCAUCAAAAUGGCGUCCACAAAGGAAUCGGUAAAACCCUCGGCAUUCCUUCUUAUGCCAGUUCGCUGAGGGUGUCUCCCGAUAGAUAUUCCCGUUCGAUAUCUCCAAGUAGAAAUCACGCUGGAGGACUGAAGGGCCUUCGAUCUUCUCUGUCGCACUGCAAAUCGACCCCUUCUCUGAUUUUAGGAUGCGACAACAACAAACUGACAGACGAAAAGUUCGCUUCCAGAUACGCAUCUUCUGGCUCUCUACCGGAAACUAGAGCUAGC
rnacentral:lncRNA from 1 species